rnacentral:rRNA from 1 species
ACUCAAAUGAAUUGACGGGGGCCCGCACAAGCAGCGGAGCGUGUGGUUUAAUUCGAUGCAACGCGAAGAACCUUACCUGGGUUUGACAUGCACGUGGUACCGAGCCGAGAGGCAAGGGACCCGCAAGGGAGCGUGCACAGGUGCUGCAUGGCUGUCGUCAGCUCGUGCCGUGAGGUGUUGGGUUAAGUCCCGCAACGAGCGCAACCCUCGUCCCUAGUUGCGUUUUCUAGGGAGACUGCCGGGAGAACCCCGGAGGAAGGUGGGGACGACGUCAAGUCCGCAUGGCCCCUACGCCCAGGGCUACACACACGCUACAAUGGCCGGUACAGCGGGAUGCGACCACGCGAGUGGGAGCCAACCCCCCAAAGCCGGCCUCAGUACGAAUUGGAGGCUGCAACCCGCCUCCAUGAAGUCGGAGUUGCUAGUAACCGCGCGUCAGCACAGUGCGGUGAAUGCGUUCCCGGGCCUUGUACACACCGCCCGU